GAUAUCCACCUUUAUUCACAAUUUAAAAAAAAUGUUGGAUUUGAAUCAUAUGAUGUCAGUAUCGUUUGUGAUUCCGAGUUGAUUUUAAGCUAAUUUAAGUUGAGUGCGAAUUGAAAGCGACCAUUUAGCUUUAAUUUUAGAUACAAUUACGGUGUCGACAACAUCCAACAAAUGUGCGGUCGAUGAAAAAGUCGCAUCAAGACAGAGAAAUUAUUUAGUGAAAAAGGAAUUAAUUUCUGUAUACUUUCGUGUGAAACGAAUCAAGGCAGUAUGGAAACGGAUAACUCUAAAGAAAAGAAUGAUUCAAAUGGAACAAAGAAAACACCACCGAAAGCUAUGAAAAGUAAAGCAAAAUUAAUUUCGCCUCAGUUACUGGCCUGCAAAAUUGAGACGAACACAGUUGAAAUGCCGCCAGCGUUGAGACAACGUCACAUUCAAUUGCAGGCGCUGCAAGCAUCUAGAUCAAGUGCUGAAUUAUUUGUGCCACAACCGGUUACAAUUCAAACGGUGCAGAAUGAUUUGCGGCAUCGCGGAAAGAAAGCGGUCGUUGUGGACGAUAUCAAUCAAUCUAGUUCAAAUGGCGCUUCUACAUCAGAUGAUGACAGCAGCUCCGAUGAAAAUCGACACUUUGAAUCGUAUUUGGUAAUCGAAUUUUCGCCCGAUAUUCAGAAGAAAACAUUACAUUGGAUCGUCGACAAAAUUCGAACGAAAACAUCCAAAGGCGGUGCUGGUUUACUGAUAAGAAGAGAACCUCAAACGAAUCCACAUCGGGGCCUAAUCGUUCAUGUGUCGGCAGAAAAUUGUAAAUUCUUACAAAUUGCUGAUGAAUUGGAGCUCAUGAAACCAACACGAAGUGGGGUUAUCAAAAAUUUCAACAUUUCAUGCCUAGACCAUUUUUUCAUAGAUGACAACAUGGCGAUUGAUAAUGUUCUUACACUAGCAGACCGUCAAAUGCUCAUAAAACAUGCUGUAGACAACAUUAAAGCCACUGAAAUUGAAAAAUUCAUUCCAGGUUAUGAAAAUUUGUUGCUAUACCAUGGUCAGUCUAUAAUAAAUGCACUAGCUGAAGAGGGACUUAUUGUUAACAUGUUAACAUUACGAGACACAGAAUACUUGAAAAAACUCAAACCAUGGUAUUCGAAGUCAUUUAAUUGGCAACCACUCAAUCGAGUUCGAGACUAUUUUGGUGAAAGUAUUGGUAUUUACUUUGCUUUCGUAGAAUAUCAUACCAUAGCUCUCAUUGUUCCAGCAAUAUUAGGAAUAUUCCAAUGGUAUUUGGCUGGCAGUUAUGUGCCAUAUUUUUGUGCAUUUUAUGUCAUUUGGAUGAUGCUGUUUCUGGAAAUAUGGAAGCAAAAAUGUUCGGGGCUGGCCUAUCGCUGGGGCACAAUAACAAUGACAAAUCUCGACAUACCACGAAUCGGUUAUUAUGGAAAAAUUGGCAGAGAUCCAGUGACGGGAAGGCGUCAACCAAUGUUUCCCAUGUGGAAAACGUAUGCCCGAAUGUAUUGCGUCUCAUUGCCGUUGAUCAUUAUUUGCAUGUUACCAGCGGCAUUUUUUGCGCUGACGCAAUUUUGGCUAGAAGAUAAAGUAUUCGCCAUUGUUGGUCCCGAUUCGUAUUGGUUGUAUUUGCCAUCGAUUGUCGAAUCGAUAAUCGUUAUUCUAUUUUCGUUUUUAUACGAAAAACUCGCAACAUGGCUAACAGAUCUCGAAAACCAUCGUACACAAGCGCAGUAUGAACGACACAGAGUUAUAAAAUUGAUUCUGCUGGAAUUUGUGAAUAACUUUUUGUCGCUGUUCUACAUUGCAUUUUACCUUCAGGAUGUGAAACUUAUCAGCAAUCAAUUGAUGACGCAAUUGCUCGUUUUUCAGAUUGCACAGAAGUUUACUGGAACAUUAUUGCCGUUAAUAAUGCCGAAGAUCUAUCGACUGAAAGAUUCAUUCAUGGGUGGUUUGACAUUGGUGGCGAGGAACGAGUAUGAUGACUUGAAUAUCGUACACUUAUCCAGAGAUGAUGAACGAAUAAAACAGAACGAAGCUGAAAGUACACUGCUCGAAUACAACAGCACAUACGAAGAUUAUUUAGAAAUGUACAUUCAAUUCGGUUACGUUGUAUUAUUUGCAUCAAUUUCGCCAUUCUCUGCAAUUGCAGCUCUCAUUAACAAUAUCAUUGAAAUGCGAAUCGAUGCAUAUAAACUGUGCUGUGUGUUUCGACGACCGUUUGCUAAACGAGUAAAAAAUACGGGUGCUUGGCUAUUAGCAUUUGAAGCGAUGAUUGUCAUGUCAAUUAUCACAAAUUGUGGUUUACUCUAUUUACAACCUGAAAUUCGUGAUUCACCGCGGCCCAAAGAACAUAUUGUCAUGGAAUUUGUUGUGGUUGAACAUAUUUUGCUGGCGGUAGCUUGGGCCUUAAACAAAGGAAUACCAGACCGGCCGCUGUGGGUGAGAAUAGCUCUGGCUAAAGCCGACUAUGAAUCAAGACAAGCGGUCAAACGAGAAGUAAAUAUACGAAGAAAAUUUACACAUUCCACCAAAUAAUAAAAAAUGUGAUACUUUCUUAAUGCACUUGAUGAUACUUAACCGUAUUAAUACUGCUUUAGACUAACAGUUAAAUUUAAAAGAACGCUCAACUUACCAGGAAAGUACUGUUUCGGCGAUUCUAUAGCCUUCGCGGGCGAAAUAAAGCCGACUGAACGAUAUACGAUCAUUUAUACGACCAGCAAUUGAAUAUGAACACAUAUUUGUUAUAUUGGAAUCAACAAAUGCUUGCAACCCUAAUUUUUUAAGCAAAUUUUAAGCAGAUGUUCAUAAGCGUGUAUUAUAUUUUGAAGAAUUUAAUAUCUAUGGAUUGUUUCACUUAGUAAACACAACUCAACCAUGGAAUAUUUUAAAAAUGUGCAAUUUUCAGGUGAAUUUUGGAGAAGACCUUAAACUUCUUGUGGGAAUAAUAUUAUUUCAUUAUUUUUAAUAUUCAUUCAAUAAGAUUGGUGGCACGUCGACUGAUUUGAAAAUAGUCUGGCUAACGAUAAACAUUUGAAGUCAUAUUUAAACAAUUAAACAGUGAUAUUAGAUAACUGUAGCAAAUUUGAUCGAUCGGUACUCAAAUUAGUUGAUUGGCUGACGUCAUAUUCACAUUGAAAAAUUUAGCUCGGUUAUUAAUAGACUUUAUUUACUCAGUUAUUUUUAUUGGCUCCAAUUUUCAUGUUUUACAGGUAUUUAAUUUAAUCGCAUUUCAAAUUGAGAAAGGAUUUGAGAUAAGAUCGGAUCUUUUUAUUGUUCGAAACAAGAAAGAAUGUGUUAUAUUACUAAUUUAAACAUUUUUAAAUAUAUUUUUAAUUUGCAAAAAAAAAAUCCCACGUAAAACAUCGUAUGGAAACAAUAACAUGUCAAGGCUAUCUGCUGUGCGCAAAAACCAUAUAAAAUAAAUAGAAAUAAAAUAA